rnacentral:rRNA from 1 species
GAUGAACGCUGGCGGCGUGCCUAAUACAUGCAAGUCGAGCGAACAGACGAGGAGCUUGCUCCUCUGACGUUAGCGGCGGACGGGUGAGUAACACGUGGAUAACCUACCUAUAAGACUGGGAUAACUUCGGGAAACCGGAGCUAAUACCGGAUAAUAUAUUGAACCGCAUGGUUCAAUAGUGAAAGACGGUUUUGCGGUCACUUAUAGAUGGAUCCGCGCCGCAUUAGCUAGUUGGUAAGGUAACGGCUUACCAAGGCAACGAUGCGUAGCCGACCUGAGAGCGUGAUCGGACACCCUGUAACUGAGACACGGUCCCGACUCCUACGGGAGGCAGCAGCAGGGACUCUUCCGCAAUGGGCCAAAGCCUGACGGAGCACCGCCGCGUGAGUGCUGAAGCUCCUCUGCUCGUAAAACUCUGUUAUUCGGGAAGAACAAAUGUGUAAGUAACUAUGCACGUCUUGACGGUACCUAAUCAGAAAGCCCCGGCUAACUACGUG